rnacentral:rRNA from 1 species
AGAGUUUGAUCCUGGCUCAGAAUGAACGCUGGCGGCGUGCUUAACACAUGCAAGUUGGACGAGAAAUCGCAAGCUUGCUUGCGAGAGUAGAGUAGCGAACGGGUGAGUAGCGCGUGGGUAAUCUACCUCUGAAUUGGGGAUAACCUAUCGAAAGGUGGGCUAAUACCGAAUGAAGUCUUAGGAGCUGAGGUUUUUAAGAUGAAAGGUAGCCUCUGUUUACAAGCUAUUGUUUGGAGAUGAGCCUGCGUACCAUUAGUUAGUUGGUGGGGUAAGAGCUCACCAAGGCGAAGAUGGUUAGCUGGUCUGAGAGGAUGAUCAGCCACACUGGAACUGACACACGGUCCAGACUCCUACGGGAGGCAGCAGUGAGGAAUUUUGCGCAAUGGGGGCAACCCUGACGCAGCAACGCCGCGUGAGUGAUGAAGGCCUUCGGGUUGUAAAGCUCUGUCGUGUGGGAAGAAAGUAAUGAUACUAAACAGGUAUUGUUAUUGACGGUACCAUAGAAGGAAGCACCGGCUAACUCCGUGCCAGCAGCCGCGGUAAUACGGAGGGUGCGAGCGUUAUUCGGAAUUAUUGGGCGUAAAGGGCGCGUAGGCGGUUUAUCGAGUCAGAUGUGAAAUCCCUGGGCUUAACCCAGGAAUUGCGUUUGAUACGGAUAGGCUUGAGUAUGGGAGAGGGAAGUGGAAUUCCUGGUGUAGAGGUGAAAUUCGUAGAUAUCAGGAGGAACACCGGUGGCGAAGGCGACUUCCUGGACCAAUACUGACGCUGAGGCGCGAAGGCGUGGGGAGCAAACAGGAUUAGAUACCCUGGUAGUCCACGCAGUAAACGGUGAUCACUAGGUGUAGCGGGUAUUGACCCCUGCUGUGCCGGAGUUAACACAUUAAGUGAUCCGCCUGGGAAGUACGGCCGCAAGGUUAAAACUCAAAUGAAUUGACGG